rnacentral:rRNA from 1 species
CCUACGGGGGGCAGCAGUGGGGAAUUUUGGACAAUGGGGGCAACCCUGAUCCAGCCAUUCCGCGUGAGUGAAGAAGGCCUUCGGGUUGUAAAGCUCUUUCAGCAGGAACGAAACGGUGUGGGUUAAUACCCUGCAUCAAUGACGGUACCUGAAGAAGAAGCACCGGCUAACUACGUGCCAGCAGCCGCGGUAAUACGUAGGGUGCGAGCGUUAAUCGGAAUUACUGGGCGUAAAGCGUGCGCAGGCGGUGAUCUAAGACAGAUGUGAAAUCCCCGGGCUUAACCUGGGAACUGCGUUUGUGACUGGGUCACUAGAGUGCGGCAGAGGGGGGUGGAAUUCCACGUGUAGCAGUGAAAUGCGUAGAGAUGUGGAGGAACACCGAUGGCGAAGGCAGCCCCCUGGGUCGACACUGACGCUCAUGCACGAAAGCGUGGGGAGCAAACAGGAUUAGAUACCCUUGUAGUC